rnacentral:rRNA from 1 species
UACGUAGGUGGCAAGCGUUGUCCGGAUUUACUGGGCGUAAAGAGCGCGCAGGCGGUCGUUCAAGUCGAGUGUGAAAGCCCCCGGCUCAACUGGGGAGGGUCACUCGAUACUGAUCGACUCGAAGGCAGAAGAGGGAAGCGGAAUUCCCGGUGUAGUGGUGAAAUGCGUAGAUAUCGGGAGGAACACCGGUGGCGAAGGCGGCUUUCUGGUCUGCUCUUGACGCUGAGGCGCGAAAGCUAGGGUAGCAAACGGG